UUGCUUUUUUCUUUUUUAUUCUCAGGCGGCUGAUGAGAGGUGGGCUUGGGGCAGAGAAGUGCGGCUGAUGGGAGAUGCAGCAGGGAGGCUUGCGGGAGAAGCCAAAGAAAAGCUAAAAAGAAAAAGUUGGCUUGAGAAAGGAGGAACCAGUGAGAAGCCGAGGAGGAGGGGAGUACCUCUGCGUUUAGACGAGUGCUGAAAGGCGAGCACAUCUGGCGCAGAGAAGAGACUUCCAGUUGUGGUAUGUUGCUCUGUGACCACCAACACCGCAACUCUCAAGAUUGUUAGGGUUAGAAAAUGGAACCUGGUAACGAAGUAAAGGAUGACGCCUCUGUAGAUUCUCUGACUUCAGUCCUGGAGGAUGAGGGUAUUUGUGAGGAGCAAAUUAAAGUUAAGAUGGAGGAUGACAUACUUCUUGCCCUCGAUGCAAAAAGUGGAGAUUCUUCUCUUAUAUCCAGAACCAUGUCAAAGGAAGAAGAGAUGCUGAUGAAAGAAUGGGUGAAGGAAGAGGAUGCAAAACAAGUAGUAUCUCAGGAGGCCCCCCACUUGAAUGACAGCCAGUUCACUAAAUUGGAUGAGCUUCUAACAUAGACCCAGCUGUGCUUAGAGUUUUUAUUGAAAAAAAAAUGGAUUCCAUCAUAUUUAAUCGUGUGGAGGAGAAAGGGAGUGAAAUUGUUGAAGUAAAAAAGAGGGGUCGAGGUUCAAAAAGAAAAGAGGAAUAUAAUAAUAGGAAGGCCAAGAGAGCAGUUGCAGCCAUGCUAGAAAGUAUCUAAGGCAUUACCAUUGAAAAUAUCUUGUGGUUGAUGGUGGGGUCUAGAUGUAAAUUCAUGAUAUGCACGUUGCAAGACUUUGCUUUAUUUUUCUUUGGGCUGCUAGGAUGUUCAAACAUCAUUUGAAAAUUCCCACCUUGGCCACCUCUAAGUGUGGUCACUUUGGCAUA